AAGAUGCUUAAGUCUUUGCGUGGAACUCCCACACCUGGGACUUGCAGCCAUGUUUCCAAUUGCAGCCAUGUUUUCCUUAAGCAAUAGGGACGGGAUGAACGAGAUGCAGCAAUUGGAAACAUGGCUGCAAGUCCCAGGUGUGGGAGUUCCACCCAAAGACUGGAACAC